rnacentral:rRNA from 1 species
AUUGAACGCUGGCGGCAUGCCUUACACAUGCAAGUCGAACGGCAGCACGGGUGCUUGCACCUGGUGGCGAGUGGCGAACGGGUGAGUAAUACAUCGGAACAUGUCCUGUAGUGGGGGAUAGCCCGGCGAAAGCCGGAUUAAUACCGCAUACGAUCUACGGCUGAAAGCGGGGGACCUUCGGGCCUCGCGCUAUAGGGUUGGCCGAUGGCUGAUUAGCUAGUUGGUGGGGUAAAGGCCUACCAAGGCGACGAUCAGUAGCUGGUCUGAGAGGACGACCAGCCACACUGGGACUGAGACACGGCCCAGACUCCUACGGGAGGCAGCAGUGGGGAAUUUUGGACAAUGGGCGAAAGCCUGAUCCAGCAAUGCCGCGUGUGUGAAGAAGGCCUUCGGGUUGUAAAGCACUUUUGUCCGGAAAGAAAUCCUUGGCUCUAAUACAGUCGGGGGAUGACGGUACCGGAAGAAUAAGCACCGGCUAACUACGU